rnacentral:lncRNA from 1 species
CAUCUGCAGGAUUUGGAAACACCCGCCUCAUAUACCCAGGCUCUGAAAUGAGCCUCAUGAUCAUGCUUCAAAUAUCAUUUUCAGAAAGUAUGCAUAUGAAACCGUGCCCCCGGCAUGCCGUGAUCCAUUCUCUCUGAUGCUACUGCGAAGUCCAUUCGGCCACUGGCGGGGCCAGCUAGUCAUUCUCGGCCACUAGCAAGGCCAGCGAAGUUAUUCUCGGCCACUAGCAAGGCC